AUUAUUAUGGACGCUUUGUACCACAGCAGAGCACAGUGUUGGCACCACUGUAUAGACUGUUGAAAGAACAAACUGCUUGGUGCUGGGGGAAAAAGGAACAAGGUGCUUUUAGUAGAUGUAAAGAAUUGCUCACCAGUGACAAAGUGCUAGUAUACUAUGAUCCACAACUGCCUUUGACUUUAGCAUGUGAUGCUUCCGCUUAUGGAAUUGGUGCGGUGCUUCAGCACAUCAUGCCAAAUGGUGACGAGCAUCCCAUUGCAUAUGCUUCACGUACUUUGUCCCCUGCUGAAAAGAAAUAUUCACAGAUUGAGAAGGAAGCUUUGAGUGUGAUCUAUGGAGUUAAAAAAUUCCAUCAGUAUCUUUGGGGAAGAUCUUUUAAUUUGAUAACUGAUCAUAGACCAUUAGUGACUCUGUUUGGUGAACAUAAGCAUUUCCCAAUGAUGGCUGCCGCUCGCAUUCAGCGGUGGGCGAUAAUUUUGUCGGCAUAUGAUUAUCAUAUCAUGUAUCGCAAGGCAGAAGAUCAUGGAAAUGCAGAUGGCUUGUCACGAAUUCCAUUACCUGAAAUUACCGAUGUAGGAACAGAAGCCAUUUCAGCAAAUAUCAACACACUUUUGACAAACCAUCUUCAAGAAGCUCCUCUAAAUGCAGCACAGAUUGCCAGAAUGACAAGAACAGAUCAAGAACUUUCUAAAGUGUUUCGUUAUGUCAUGGAAGGUUGGCCAAUUGAAGUGUCAGAUGAUUUGAAAGUAUUCUACGCGAAAAGAGAUGAACUGUCAGUAGAACAGGGAUGUCUGCUAUGGGGCACACGAGUGAUUGUACCAUUCAAAUUUCGAAAAUCAGUGUUACAGGAAAUUCACUCAGGACACCCUGGCAUUGUUAAAAUGAAAGCUCUGACUCGUAAAUACGUGUGGUGGCCUAAAAUUGAUACGGAUAUAGAAAGAGUUUGCAAGGAGUGUCAAAUCUGUCAACAAGAACAAAGAAUGCCAAGUCACGUCCCUCUUCAUCCUUGGGAAUUCCCGGGUGAGUGUUGGAAAAGGUUGCAUGUGGAUUUUGCUGGUCCGUUCUUGAACAACAUGUUUAUGAUCAUUGUUGAUGCUCAUUCUAAAUGGUUGGAAGUUUUUCGUAUGUCACAGAUUACUUCUCAAGCUACUAUUACCAGAUUGAAGAGAUUGUUUUCUGCAUAUGGAUUACCUGAACAAAUCGUGACUGAUAAUGCAACUACUUUUACUUCUGAUGAAUUCCAAAGAUUUGUGAAGCAGAAUGGUAUUAUGCAUACCAGAAGUGCACCAAAACACCCAGCAACAAAUGGAUUGGCAGAAAGAUAUGU
ensembl:lncRNA